CCGUGGUAAUUCUAGAGCUAAUACAUGCUAAAAACCNCGACUUCGGAAGGGGUGUAUUUAUUAGAUAAAAAACCAAUGCCCUUCGGGGCUCCUUGGUGAUUCAUGAUAACUUAACGAAUCGCAUGGCCUUGCGCCGGCGAUGGUUCAUUCAAAUUUCUGCCCUAUCAACUUUCGAUGGUAGGAUAGUGGCCUACCAUGGUUUCAACGGGUAACGGGGAAUUAGGGUUCUAUUCCGGAGAGGGAGCCUGAGAAACGGCUACCACAUCCAAGGAAGGCAGCAGGCGCGCAAAUUACCCAAUCCCGACACGGGGAGGUAGUGACAAUAAAUACUGAUACAGGGCUCUUUUGGGUCUUGUAAUUGGAAUGAGUACAAUUUAAAUCCCUUAACGAGGAACAAUUGGAGGGCAAGUCUGGUGCCAGCAGCCGCGGUAAUUCCAGCUCCAAUAGCGUAUAUUAAAGUUGUUGCAGUUAAAAAGCUCGUAGUUGAACCUUGGGCNUGGCUGGCCGGUCCGCCUCACCGCGUGCACUGGUNCGGCCGNGCCUUUCCUUCUGGGNAGCCGCAUGCCCUUCACUGGGUGUGUCGGGGAACCAGGACUUUUACUUUGAAAAAAUUAGAGUGUUCAAAGCAGGCCUAUGCUCGAAUACAUUAGCAUGGAAUAAUAGAAUAGGACGUGUGGUUCUAUUUUGUUGGUUUCUAGGACCGCCGUAAUGAUUAAUAGGGAUAGUCGGGGGCAUCAGUAUUCAAUUGUCAGAGGUGAAAUUCUUGGAUUUAUUGAAGACUAACUACUGCGAAAGCAUUUGCCAAGGAUGUUUUCAUUAAUCAGUGAACGAAAGUUAGGGGAUCGAAGACGAUCAGAUACCGUCGUAGUCUUAACCAUAAACUAUGCCGACUAGG
rnacentral:rRNA from 1 species